GUGAUGCAGGACAUUUACUAAGAUCUGAGCUAAACUUCUGUACUGCUAAUAUGUCAGCACUGAAGAUUGAUUCCUGUAAUGUACAUUAUCUGCCCAUGCAGAUCAGUCUGGGUAUGUCUGUGAAUUAGAUCUCUUGCCAUGCUCAAGGGCUAUUAUUGGUAAAUUGUUCUGAACUACCAGAGAGUUGUACUAUGGCUACAAUGUAAGAAAUGUCCAGAUACUGUGAUACUUUUAGUUUACUGCUAUUUUAAGGAAGAAUGCUACAAUUUUGAUCACUUCCUAUUGUUCUAUACAGUGUCUCAGCAGCACUGAGCAGAAGAGCAGCAAAGCUGCCAAAGACCUGACACUGAGAGACAGAGCUCCCCUAGCUGCC